GGACUGGAAUAGCCUACUGAAUUGGUCCUUUGAUCAGAGCUUAGCUGUGGCUCAUUGAUAAUUAAUAAAGACUCAUUCUGAACACCUCAUAUCUCUACUAGGACUCCGUCACUUCCCUCGUGGUAUCAAAACUUCUAUCCUGUCUCUAUCUUCCUACCUUGUGGCUUCUCUCACCUCUGAGAGAGCUACAGAUGGCGCCCAACUUUCUCGUGGCAUUCCACUCUUUUAUUUCACACAGCGAAUGGGAGAACGCGUUCGAGGACACGAGGCUAAUAGUAGGCGGGUGCCGGAGUUCCAGGAAGGUUGCCGAUCCUCUGGCCAAGGACGAUAAUGAAAACAUCUGGUCUCCCACGUCAUGCUUCAUGCCAGCUGAUACAGACCAGGAAGAGAAGCAGACGGAAGGUGAUGGCAUCAGCUAUCUACAUGCCAGCCACAAUCCAGACUCGCUGGAAGGACACUUCUUUGGUGACUAAUAUCACUCUAGAACAAUGACAUUACACUAUUAGAGACAUUGGCUAUUAGGCCACUGAUGGACACUUGUCAUGCUGACAUCCAUUGAGAUGGGGUACCCAGAGCAACAUCAAGUAUGCUAACUCAGAAGGACUAAAUCACACUUGUGUCUGUACAAGACACCAGAUAUGUCCCACACUCCAAAGACUUUGCGAUGGGAUUGAGAUGAAAUAGCUACAAAUUGUCUAGCUACUAAAGUAUACCUUGUAUUUUGUAUAUGAUACUGUCAAAGGGAAUUUUGUAUGCAUUAUGAAUUGUAUGCAUUGUAAAUCCACCACUUGUAUUGUAAGAAAUGCUGUUAACAAGGGUAUAGACCUUGGUAUGACUCUCCAAAGAGCAGGAGAUAGAAAACUUUCAUUCAUAGCAUAGAUCUGAUACCUCUGACAUCAAAAAUGAGGUGCUAAGCAGAAAAUGCUGCACAGCCAUGUCUAAUGGACAGAUGACACUGAUGUUACUCUCAAGAAAGAAUGAGAGAUCAGGAAAAAGACACUAGAAAAUCUUUAAUCAGGAACUUGAGUUAUUGUAAGAGAUCAUUGACAUCCAGGCAAAGAUUAUGUUCCUGACAUUACAUUAAGGGCUGACUACCAGAGAUGUAGUUAAGUGUUAAUACCAUUGCUAACCAUUACUCCUGAUACCCUGUCUUUGUGGGUAAUAUCUUGAUAGGAAAAAUGUCUUGCUCUCCCCCAACAGUCCCAGAAUUCAGACGGCCGCUGGAUUCGGGAUCUAUUGGCUUCCCUUUCAUAUACUGGAAGACGUUCUGGUAUAUGGAAGUAAGACCUCAUGAAAAACUGAGGGCUCUAGGUUUGACAAUUUCUGUGGACGCGCAGUCAUUGUCUCUCCUAGAUGGAAAAAAUUAUUAUUGCACAAAAACAUGGAGCAAGGGCAAAGUAUAAUCUAAGUUUUACUGUUUUGGAGUAUGGAUUAAAAACAUGACACAAUAGGCACAGAUAAGCUUGCAGAAAA
rnacentral:lncRNA from 1 species